rnacentral:rRNA from 1 species
AUUUUGGGCAAUGGGCGAAAGCCUGACCCAGCAACGCCGCGUGAGGGAUGAAGUAUUUCGGUAUGUAAACCUCGAAAGAAUGGGAAGAAUAAAUGACGGUACCAUUUAUAAGCUCCGGCUAACUACGUGCCAGCAGCCGCGGUAAUACGUAGGGAGCAAGCGUUGUUCGGAUUUACUGGGCGUAAAGGGCGCGUAGGCGGCGCGGUAAGUCACUUGUGAAAUCUCUGAGCUUAACUCAGAACGGCCAAGUGAUACUGCUGUGCUAGAGUGCGGAAGAGGCAACCGGAAUUCUUGGUGUAGCGGUGAAAUGCGUAGAUAUCAAGAGGAACACCUGAGGCGAAGGCGGGUUGCUGGGCCGACACUGACGCUGAUGCGCGAAAGCCAGGGGAGCAAACG